AUAGGGAACACAUCAUCAUCAAUCAAUGAAAAUGUUCUUAGAUGAGAGUGAAUAGAUGGAAACUCCAUUUUUAUUGGAACACAACUCCCAUUCAAGUGACUGGCUCGUUUGGCUUCUUUUCACUUUCAUUAUUUGAAAGUAGCAUAUGGAUUGUUUGGAUACUAUUGGACUAAACAAAUUGCCUUAUGAGGGGAUAAUACAUUAACUUUGGCGAGAAGAUAUAAUGAUGGUUUUUAGUAAAGCGGCUUAAAAACUGUUUCAACAUUAAAAAAAAUUUUAAAAGAACGGAAACCCGAACACUUAUAAAUUAUACCUUUUUGAAAA